AGAGUUUGAUCAUGGCUCAGGACGAACGCUGGCGGCGUGCCUAACACAUGCAAGUCGAACGGACGAGGCCCCUUCGGGGACCGAGUUAGUGGCGGACGGGUGAGUAACGCGUGAGCAACCUGCCUUUCAGAGGGGGACAACAGUUGGAAACGACUGCUAAUACCGCAUGAUGCAGCGAGAUCGCAUGGUCUUGCUGUCAAAGAUUUAUCGCUGAAAGAUGGGCUCGCGUCUGAUUAGCUAGUUGGAGGGGUAACGGCCCACCAAGGCGACGAUCAGUAGCCGGACUGAGAGGUUGAACGGCCACAUUGGGACUGAGAUACGGCCCAGACUCCUACGGGAGGCAGCAGUGGGGAAUAUUGGGCAAUGGGGGAAACCCUGACCCAGCAACGCCGCGUGAAGGAAGAAGGCUUUCGGGUUGUAAACUUCUUUUACCAGGGACGAAGAACGUGACGGUACCUGGAGAAAAAGCCACGGCUAACUACGUGCCAGCAGCCGCGGUAAUACGUAGGUGGCAAGCGUUGUCCGGAUUUACUGGGUGUAAAGGGCGUGUAGGCGGAGCUGCAAGUCAGAUGUGAAAUCUGGGGGCUUAACCCUCAAACUGCAUUUGAAACUGUAGCCCUUGAGUAUCGGAGAGGCAGGCGGAAUUCCUAGUGUAGCGGUGAAAUGCGUAGAUAUUAGGAAGAACACCAGUGGCGAAGGCGGCCUGCUGGACGACAACUGACGCUGGGGCGCGAAAGCGUGGGAAGCAAACAGGAUUAGAUACCCUGGUAGUCCACGCUGUAAACGAUGAAUACUAGGUGUGGGGGGACUGACCCCCUCCGUGCCGGAGUUAACACAAUAAGUAUUCCACCUGGGGAGUACGACCGCAAGGUUGAAACUCAAAGGAAUUGACGGGGGCCCGCACAAGCAGUGGAUUAUGUGGUUUAAUUCGACGCAACGCGGAGAACCUUACCGGGAUUUGACAUCCUACUAACGAAGCAGAGAUGCAUUAGGUGCCCUUCGGGGAAAGUAGAGACAGGUGGUGCAUGGUUGUCGUCAGCUCGUGUCGUGAGAUGUUGGGUUAAGUCCCGCAACGAGCGCAACCCCUAUCGUUAGUUGCUACGCAAGAGCACUCUAGCGAGACUGCCGUUGACAAAACGGAGGAAGGCGGGGACGACGUCAAAUCAUCAUGCCCCUUAUGUCCCGGGCUACACACGUAAUACAAUGGCGGUCAACAAAGGGAAGCAAAGCCGCGAGGCAGAGCAAACCCCCAAAAGCCGUCUCAGUUCGGAUUGCAGGCUGCAACUCGCCUGCAUGAAGCUGGAAUUGCUAGUAAUCGUGGAUCAGAAUGCCACGGUGAAUACGUUCCCGGGCCUUGUACACACCGCCCGUCACACCAUGAGAGUCGGGAACACCCGAAGUCCGUAGUCUAACCCGCAAGGGAGGGCGCGGCCGAAGGUGGGUCUGAUAAUUGGGGUGAAGUCGUAACAAGGUA
rnacentral:rRNA from 1 species